UACGUAGGCAGCAAGCGUUGUUCGGAAUUACUGGGCGUAAAGCGUGCGCAGGCGGUUAUGCAAGACAGAGGUGAAAUCCCCGGGCUCAACCUGGGAACUGCCUUUGUGACUGCAUAGCUAGAGUACGGUAGAGGGGAUGGAAUUCCGCGUGUAGCAGUGAAAUGCGUAGAUAUGCGGAGGAACACCGAUGGCGAAGGCAAUCCCCUGGACCUGUACUGACGCUCAUGCACGAAAGCGUGGGGAGCAAACAGGG
rnacentral:rRNA from 1 species